rnacentral:misc_RNA from 1 species
GUAGGUGAACCUGCGGAAGGAUCAUUAACAAAAAAAAAUUAAAUUAACUCUUAAGUUAAAACCCCGCGCAAACAACGACUAAUUGUAAAAUUCGCUUGACAAAAAAUGAUGAAAGGCUCUUCUGUUGUUGGCUCGAAAGGGCCUCUUUGGAGGGACUCCCUUUGUCUUUUUUGGAAAGUUUUUAACUAACCCCCAUUCUCAUUUACUUUGCUUUGAAAUUAUUUUUCUUCUCUCUUUUUGCCCCAAUUUA